UACGGAGGGUGCAAGCGUUGUUCGGAAUUACUGGGCGUAAAGCGCGCGUAGGCGGUUUGUUAAGUCAGAUGUGAAAGCCCAUGGCUCAACCAUGGACGUGCAUUUGAUACUGCGAAGCUUGAAUGCGAGAGAGGGUGGUGGAAUAUCCAGUGUAGAGGUGAAAUUCGUAGAUAUUGGAUGGAACACCAGUGGCGAAGGCGACCACCUGGCCAAAUACUGACGCUGAGGUGCGAAAGCGUGGGGAGCAAACAGG
rnacentral:rRNA from 1 species